UUGGAGGGCAAGUCUGGUGCCUUGGAGGGCAAGUCUGGUGCCAGCAGCCGCGGUAAUUCCAGCUCCAAUAGCGUAUAUUAAAGUUGUUGCAGUUAAAAAGCUCGUAGUUGAAUUUCGGGAUCAAUGUUUCGGUCAUGCCGUUGGUAUGUACUGAUAUUAUUGAUUUCUCACCUUCUAAAGAACCGUAAUGCCAUUAAUUUGGUGUCACGGGGAAUUAGGACUGUUACCUUGAAAAAAUUAGAGUGUUUAAAGCAGGCUCACGCUUGAAUACAUUAGCAUGGAAUAAUGAAAUAGGACAUCCGAUUCUAUUUUGUUGGUUUCUAGGAUCGAUGUAAUGAUUAAUAGGGAUAGUUGGGGGCAUUAGUAUUCAAUUGUCAGAGGUGAAAUUCUUGGAUUUAUUGAAGACUAACUACUGCGAAAGCAUUUGCCAAGGAUGUUUUCAUUAAUCAAGAACGAAAGUUAGGGGAUCGAAGACGAUCAGAUACCGUCGUAGUCUUAACCAUAAACUAUGCCGACUAGGGAUCGGAUGAUGUUAAUUUUUUAAUGACUCAUUCGGCGCCUUACGGGAAACCAAAGUGUUUGGGUUC
rnacentral:rRNA from 1 species